rnacentral:rRNA from 1 species
UACGGAGGGUGCAAGCGUUGUUCGGAAUUACUGGGCGUAAAGGGCGUGUAGGCGGCCAACCAAGUCGGGUGUGAAAUCCCUGGGCUUAACCCAGGAACUGCAUCUGAAACUGGCUGGCUAGAGUACGGGAGAGGAAGGUGGAAUUCCUGGUGUAGAGGUGAAAUUCGUAGAUAUCGGGAAGAACACCGGUGGCGAAGGCGGCCUUCUGGCCCGAUACUGACGCUGAUACGCGAAAGCGUGGGGAGCAAACAGG